AAACAUCUAAUCUAGGGCUGGAUGAAGCCCUAGCAAUGUAUCAGGGCAUUGUAGUUCUUAUUUUCUUUAUUAUUUUGGAUCUUGUUUAAAUUCUUAUCUUCAAUAAAAUAUCUUUUUAUGAUGUUUAAACUUUGAGCAUGCCAUUUACUAUUCAUGUUUGCUAAAGUAGUCUAAGAUGAUCCAUGCCUAGGAAGAUGAGGUGUGCUGCAUCCUAGAUUAGCAUACUUAGGUAGACACUUCAUGCUAUACCAAAGAUGAAUUUUCCUAACAC
rnacentral:lncRNA from 1 species